rnacentral:rRNA from 1 species
ACGGUUUCAGUUACACGUGGAUAACCUGCCCUCAGGUCUGGCAUAACCCCGGGAAACUGGGGAUAAUUCCGGAUAACGCAUAUAUGCUGGAAUGCUUUAUGCGUCAAAGGUCCUCCGCCUGAGGAUGGGUCUGCGGCCUAUCAGGUAGUAGCGGGUGUAAUGUACCUGCUAGCCGACGACGGGUACGGGUUGUGAGAGCAAGAGCCCGGAGAUGGAUUCUGAGACAUGAAUCCAGGCCCUACGGGGCGCAGCAGGCGCGAAAACUUUACAAUGCGGGAAACCGUGAUAAGGGGACACCGAGUGCCAGCAACAUUUGCUGGCUGUCCAGGUGUGUAAACUACACCUGUUAGCAAGGGCCGGGCAAGACCGGUGCCAGCCGCCGCGGUAACACCGGCGGCCCGAGUGGUGAUCGUUAUUAUUGGGUCUAAAGGGUCCGUAGCCGGUUUAGUCAGUCCUCCGGGAAAUCUGUCAGCUCAACUGAUAGGCUAUCGGGGGAUACUGCUAGACUUGGAACCGGGAGAGGUAAGAGGUACUACAGGGGUAGGAGUGAGAUCUUGUAAUCCCUGUGGGACCACCUGUGGCGAAGGCGUCUUACCAGAACGGGUUCGACGGUGAGGGACGAAAGCUGGGGGCACGAACCGGAUUAGAUACCCGGGUAGUCCCAGCCGUAAACGAUGCUCGCUAGGUGUCAUGCAUGGUGCGACCGUGUAUGGUGCCGUAGGGAAGCCGUGAAGCGAGCCACCUGGGAAGUACGGCCGCAAGGCUGAAACUUAAAGGAAUUGGCGGGGGAGCAC